AUUAAAUAGCUCCAGAUGCUGAGUGAAAAGGAUAUUUUAAAUCAGAAAGACACUUUUCUGCAUUGGGCCACAUGAACCCCAAAACCAGGCUUGGCCAGGAAGAUGUGGAGCUUCUGUCCUUUUAAAAUCACCCGGGUAGAGAAAGAGACAACAUGGGCGUUACGGAGGCUUCAGGCUCCCUGGCGAGAGGCACAGAAGGAAGCCCUGUCGGGUCAGGUCAAGCUGGGAGUGCACUCUGUGUGCGUGCCUACCAACAAAGCCCCAAAUACCUGGGAUCGCCCAACGACAGUGGCUGGAGUAAGAGAUGGGAGCAGGAAGACUUGAAAUGGUGCAGAAGAUACAACCCCAUCCGUCAGGAGUGAAAACAAAGAAGAGGAUGGCAUGACUUGGCUUUAGUGUUGACAGCAGGUAUUACAUAACAUCUCUUUGUAGAAGAAGAGGGUAGAUCUUGGACGUCAAUUAUCCUUCCUACUUUUUGAGGAACUAUGUAUUUCUGUAGAAUUAAGAAAUACGGUCCCCAAACGCCCACCUAGCUUGUUGUACCAAAUUACAAUUAGAGACAGCAUGACCUAACUGAAAGAGACCCAGCCAAGACCUUGGAUAAAUAGCUUAGUUUCCCUGGGGAAGCAGGGGAAGGAGGUGUGGGGUAAAUUCCUGCUUCUACUACUACCUAUGACCACAAGUAUCUUUUCUUACUCGUUUCUAGUGGGUNUUUUUUUUUUUUUUUUUUUCUUGGAGGGGAAGGGAAAUUUCUCAAAUAACCCAUGUAAAAAAUAUUUUGUAAACUAGGAAGGAUUAUUAUCACUUGGGCAUUAUUACUAAAGUCUACUUUUCUAAAAUACUCUAUCAUAAUCAAAAUAGUUCAGUCAAGUCAAAUCACCAGACCUAGAGCAUAAACUUUGCGCCACGCCCUGUGCAAUGCAUGAUGGAUUCAAAGAUGCACAAAGGGGAAAGGCACAAGGAGUUACAUUUACUCUGAAGGAUCACUCAUGGUACUACUGUCAUAGCAAGAAAAAAUGGUGGCAUCAACGCUUUGCCAGAGGGACAUUUUCAGAAACAAGUGUGUUACAAAUAUUGAAAUAUUGAAAUCCAGGGGUCAAACCAAUUGAAAUAGACAACCUCUUAUGCCAUUCUCUAAUUUACCAAAUCCAGUUUGUUUAAUAGGGGGUAAAGGCUGGCAAUGACACUCCUAAAUUCUGGAGCACUUCUCCUUUCAAAAUGAUUUUAAAACAAUUAAAUAGAUACUGACAAGACUCCCGGCAGCAAGAACUACUGAAUAUGAUCAGGAGUGAGGAGACCCUUGGUCAUUUAUACAUUCAGGCUA
rnacentral:lncRNA from 1 species